CAACUGGAUCUGAAGCGUAAUGAUGGUCUUCAGAAGGCCUCUCAUGGUGGCCUUGAUUCAGAGGUUUGAGAAGACUACCAAGCACCAGAGCCAGCUAACAGGUGGACCAAACAUCAAGCCAGAAUUCUGCAUGAGUCAGAAUCUUUUGAUAAUAUUGCCCAAUGCAACAAAUGGAAAAAGCAUGCUUUAUGACAACCUCAGCAGCAGAACCCAUGACUUUCUCCUGGGUAGACGAGACAAAAAAGUUUGGUAUCAACACCCAUCUAACAAUUAAGAAAGUUAUCUGCAGCCACACAUCCACUGUAUACCAAGUUAUGAUGAACAAUUAUGAAAAUGCAAAAGGAUUGAUAGAUCAGUAAACAAGCAACAAAAAGAUGGGUGCUCAUGGUGGCCUCCAAAUAAAUACAUGGACAGGCUGCUAAAGAGGGUCAGGAUGAUGGAGAUGCAAGAGCCAAAGACAGCACAGACCAAACACCAGGCCAGAAUUCUGCAUGAGUCAGAUUGAGUAAUUUUCACUCUAGAGACCCUUGGGUGACCACCAAGGACGAAUGCAAACUCCAGUGAGUGUCUCUAAGGUAGAUCCUAAUGCAGAUGGAUGGAAUGUUGAUCCGCCUAACAUGCAAGCUACAGAGGGCAUCCUUUAUUCAGUCCCUAAUGCAGAUGGUUGGAGUGUUGAUCUACCUAACAUGAGGGGUAAAAGAGUGUUUGUUAGCAUAAUGAGAAAGAAAACAGAAACACAUUAUUAGUGGCAUUUAAAAACAUAACACUUGUUUAUACUACAUUUUAUGUUCAAUCCAUAGAGCACUCGUUUUGAGUCCUGAGACCCUGGGGUGACCACCGUGAACAAAUACAGAAGCACUCAAUUUGAGUCCUGAGACCCUGGGGUGACCACCGUGAACAAAUACAGACUGCAAUAGCAGUCUUGACGGUACUAGGAUGAAUGCAAAUAAAGACUAACCACCUGACAUCAGCUGUCCAGUCUCUUGUGGGAAGCAGGUGCUUGUUACCCCAAAUACGGAUGAAGAGUGACGAAGAGGAUGAUGACUUU